ACUUCUCUCCUGAGGGCUGUAAAGACUAGUUUGAAAAGGGACAGCCAAGAACCAACUGAAUCUUCUCAGAAUGGAAACACUGUAUUAUUUUGGAGGAGUUAAUUUCAGAAGGAAAAUGGGUCAAGCUUGAAAAAACAACGUAGGUGGCUCCUACUGGUAAAACUGGAACUUGGGACUCAGUGAAACGUACAACCAGGAAAGAACAGACUGGUGAUGAUGCAGCGAUCAUCCCUGUGCUGCAGAGAACGCUUCACUACGAGUGUAUCAUUCUGGUGAAACAGUCCUGACGACCAACGGGUGGCUACCGCAUAGAGUUCCCUGCAGGUCUCAUAGAUUAUGGUGAAAUCCCAGGAGCAGCUGCUCUUCGGGAGCUUGAAGAAGAAACUGGCUACUAGGGGGACAUUGCCGAAAGUUCUCCAGUGGUCUGUAUGGACCCAAGUUUGUCAAACUGUACCACACACAUUGUGACAGUAAUCAUUAACGGAGAUGAUAUAGAAAAUCUAAGGCCCAAGCCAACACCAGGGGAUGGAGAAUUUGUGGAAAUCAUUUCGUUACCCAAGAAUGACCCGCUGCAGAGACUCGAUGCUCUCAUAGCUGAAGAACAUCUUACAGUGGAUGCCAGAGUCUAUUCCUAUGCUCUAGUGCUGAAACAUGCAAAUGUGAAGCCAUUUGAAGUGCCCACCCUGAAAUCUGAAGGCCAAAGACAACACUGGCCAUUUUUGUAAAUGAGACUACCAGGCCUUCUUCACAAAGACUUUGUAUUCAACUUAGUUUAAUGUAGAUUUGAAUUAGCUUUUUCGUAAAAUAAAAGCAGCACAAAAUGCAAAAAAAAAGAAAAGAAAAGAUGAGCCAUAUUAUGCUUUUCAACUCAGUCCUACCCCACUGCCUUGCCCUCAAAACACAGAAUGACCAUACUCCAUGGAAAAAUACAUAAUGUAAAAUAAAAAUCUUAGUAGCUAAAAGCAUUUGCAUGAAGGAAGUUAAAACAUGCAAACCUCAGAAGAAAUCACCAUGGGUUCUUCAAAAGUUGGCAAAUCCACUGAAAUACAGGCCAGUCUUCCAACAGUACCAGCUACUAUAAGGCCACUAUGAUUUGUCCAGGCAGUUAAGACCAGAAGGAGCUUCACGUAGCCAUAUUAGCGGAGUAAAGUAAAACUUACCACAUCAUGACAAUCAGUAUUUCCACAGUGAGUCAUCCUUUGUAACAGGUUUAGCCCUUUUUCUCUUAGGUAGAAAAUAUUUUUACUAUUAGUUUAAAAUGUGUUUUAACUGUAAUGAUCACAACGUCAAAAUUUAAAUCAUAAAUCUCCUGAAUCCUUCUAAAACAAAUGAAGAAAAGAACAACUUAAGCCUAAGAUUACUCUUUAGAUCAAGUCAUCUUUAACAGAAGCAACAGUCAGAAUGAACAUGUAAAGAAAAAAAACAAAAACAAAAACUAAGUAUAACAGGAUAUUUCUAGGGGAAGUAAAAGAGGGAUAUUUUAGUCAGUUCUAAGUGCUCCAGGCAACUCCUAAAAAACCUCCACAGACCAGAAAGUUGAAGAUGAACAGAAGGACCAGUUGCAGGACCUACCUGCCAUGAGCAGUAAUUUUCAACGAAAUAAAUCCACAUAGGGGCAAAAUGGAGCACUAACCUUUGGAAAGGUAGGAAACCUUCCUAGUGACAGACAGGAUAGACGAGAGUAAGACUUAGCCUAGCUCCUUAUCUUCCAGGUUGUCAAAAUAGUCAUUUUCACUGUAACACAAAGAAAAUGUCUUAAGGUACCCUUGGUUUAUGGACAAAUCUGAGGAUUCUACCUUUUUCUGAGAAAAUGUAUUCUCAAGUCAGAGAAGAAAGGGCAAAUAAUCUAAUAAAAUAUUUUUCUUCUUCAGCGUUUAUUAGGACACUUGCUUUUAGUGUCUAAAGUGAAACUGCUUUUUAAAAAUGAGAGAACAUCCAGGCUGGCCAACAUGGCAAAACCCUGUCUCUACUAAAAAU